rnacentral:rRNA from 1 species
AGUGAACGCUGGCGGUAGGCCUAACACAUGCAAGUCGAACGGCAGCACAGUAAGAGCUUGCUCUUACGGGUGGCGAGUGGCGGACGGGUGAGGAAUACAUCGGAAUCUACUUUUUCGUGGGGGAUAACGUAGGGAAACUUACGCUAAUACCGCAUACGACCUACGGGUGAAAGCAGGGGAUCUUCGGACCUUGCGCGAUUGUAUUAGCCGAUGUCGGAUUAGCUAGUUGGCGGGGUAAAGGCCCACCAAGGCGACGAUCCGUAGCUGGUCUGAGAGGAUGAUCAGCCACACUGGAACUGAGACACGGUCCAGACUCCUACGGGAGGCAGCAGUGGGGAAUAUUGGACAAUGGGCGCAAGCCUGAUCCAGCCAUACCGCGUGGGUGAAGAAGGCCUUCGGGUUGUAAAGCCCUUUUGUUGGGAAAGAAAAGCAGCAGGUUAAUACCCCGCUGUUCUGACGGUACCCAAAGAAUAAGCACCGGCUAACUUCGUG